rnacentral:lncRNA from 1 species
UCUAUCACCUGGGCCCUCUGCUAGACAGUGUUAUAUCUGUAGGGCUGUUCUCUAGAGAAAACUGUUAUGAAAUUGAAGCUGAGCGAACGCCGCCCAACAAAGUCCGAAAACUUCUAGAAAUUGUUGACGCACAGAUGGAUGAAAGUGGUGCCUCUAGUUUCAUGGAGUGUCUGAAGAAAUGCAAGAAACAUUACCCGCGUCUACAAACCUGGUUGACCUCAGAAGAAGAUCACUCCCAACCACCAGGCAUUAAGCAAGGUCCAACAGGUAGGACACAGAAUUUUCACUUUUACUUAAUAUAUAUGUAAUGUCUCCCAUUCCUCAUCAUUGUCCUGUCUCCAUGCAGAACGUCAGCUACAGGCCCAGUUUAAUGUUCUGUGCUCACGCUUGGGCUGUUCUGUUCUGCCGGUCUCCUACGAUCUCUUCUCCAGCGGCAUUCUGACUCAGUUGGAACUGGAGAAAAUCCAAGCAAUACCCAUCCCAACCCAGCAAGCACAAACUCUGCUGUCCAUCUGCCUGAAGAAAGGAGAAAAAGUGUGCAUGAGCUUUUACACAGCGCUACAGAAUGAAGACGAGCAACUAGCUGAGGAACUUAAUGUAAACAGUUUGGUGGAAGACCUUGAUAAAGAACCAGAAGGCAGCAUUGUGCCGAUAGCAGUGGAGGAAACUAGAGAUCACUUGAGAGCAGCUUUACCUCUGUCAGGUAGUUCACAUUUCAACAUUAUACUCAUUUUGUUGAAAACUAUGAGAGA